UACGUAGGGGGCAAGCGAUAUCCGGAUUUACUGGGUGUAAAGGGAGCGUAGGCGGUGCAGCAAGUCAGAAGUGAAAGCCCGGGGCUCAACUCCGGGACUGCUUUUGAAACUGUUGAACUAGAUUGCAGGAGAGGUAAGUGGAAUUCCUAGUGUAGCGGUGAAAUGCGUAGAUAUUAGGAGGAACACCAGUGGCGAAGGCGGCUUACUGGACUGUAAAUGACGCUGAGGCUCGAAAGCGUGGGGAGCAAACAGG
rnacentral:rRNA from 1 species